rfam:Candidatus Sodalis pierantonius str. SOPE, complete genome.
AGCGUAUCCGAGGGGUGUCUUGUCUGGACUGAGAUGGCUAUCGCCGAACCCUUUGAACCUGAUCUGGGUCAUGCCAGCGAAGGGACGGUCGGUAAUAGCUUG